GGUUAAGCGACUAAGCGUACACGGUGGAUGCCCUGGCAGUCAGAGGCGAUGAAGGACGUGCUAAUCUGCGAUAAGCGUCGGUAAGGUGAUAUGAACCGUUAUAACCGGCGAUUUCCGAAUGGGGAAACCCAGUGUGUUUCGACACACUAUCAUUAACUGAAUCCAUAGGUUAAUGAGGCGAACCGGGGGAACUGAAACAUCUAAGUACCCCGAGGAAAAGAAAUCAACCGAGAUUCCCCCAGUAGCGGCGAGCGAACGGGGAGCAGCCCAGAGCCUGAAUCAGUGUGUGUGUUAGUGGAAGCGUCUGGAAAGGCGCGCGAUACAGGGUGACAGCCCCGUACACAAAAAUGCACAUACUGUGAGCUCGAUGAGUAGGGCGGGACACGUGGUAUCCUGUCUGAAUAUGGGGGGACCAUCCUCCAAGGCUAAAUACUCCUGACUGACCGAUAGUGAACCAGUACCGUGAGGGAAAGGCGAAAAGAACCCCGGCGAGGGGAGUGAAAAAGAACCUGAAACCGUGUACGUACAAGCAGUGGGAGCACAGAGCAAUCUGUGUGACUGCGUACCUUUUGUAUAAUGGGUCAGCGACUUAUAUUCUGUAGCAAGGUUAACCGAAUAGGGGAGCCGAAGGGAAACCGAGUCUUAACUGGGCGUUAAGUUGCAGGGUAUAGACCCGAAACCCGGUGAUCUAGCCAUGGGCAGGUUGAAGGUUGGGUAACACUAACUGGAGGACCGAACCGACUAAUGUUGAAAAAUUAGCGGAUGACUUGUGGCUGGGGGUGAAAGGCCAAUCAAACCGGGAGAUAGCUGGUUCUCCCCGAAAGCUAUUUAGGUAGCGCCUCGUGAAUUCAUCUCCGGGGGUAGAGCACUGUUUCGGCAAGGGGGUCAUCCCGACUUACCAACCCGAUGCAAACUGCGAAUACCGGAGAAUGUUAUCACGGGAGACACACGGCGGGUGCUAACGUCCGUCGUGAAGAGGGAAACAACCCAGACCGCCAGCUAAGGUCCCAAAGUCAUGGUUAAGUGGGAAACGAUGUGGGAAGGCCCAGACAGCCAGGAUGUUGGCUUAGAAGCAGCCAUCAUUUAAAGAAAGCGUAAUAGCUCACUGGUCGAGUCGGCCUGCGCGGAAGAUGUAACGGGGCUAAACCAUGCACCGAAGCUGCGGCAGCGACGCUGAUGCGUUGUUGGGUAGGGGAGCGUUCUGUAAGCCUGUGAAGGUGUGCUGUGAGGCAUGCUGGAGGUAUCAGAAGUGCGAAUGCUGACAUAAGUAACGAUAAAGCGGGUGAAAAGCCCGCUCGCCGGAAGACCAAGGGUUCCUGUCCAACGUUAAUCGGGGCAGGGUGAGUCGACCCCUAAGGCGAGGCCGAAAGGCGUAGUCGAUGGGAAACAGGUUAAUAUUCCUGUACUUGGUGUUACUGCGAAGGGGGGACGGAGAAGGCUAUGUUGGCCGGGCGACGGUUGUCCCGGUUUAAGCGUGUAGGCUGGUUUUCCAGGCAAAUCCGGAAAAUCAAGGCUGAGGCGUGAUGACGAGGCACUACGGUGCUGAAGCAACAAAUGCCCUGCUUCCAGGAAAAGCCUCUAAGCAUCAGGUAACAUCAAAUCGUACCCCAAACCGACACAGGUGGUCAGGUAGAGAAUACCAAGGCGCUUGAGAGAACUCGGGUGAAGGAACUAGGCAAAAUGGUGCCGUAACUUCGGGAGAAGGCACGCUGAUAUGUAGGUGAAGCGACUUGCUCGUGGAGCUGAAAUCAGUCGAAGAUACCAGCUGGCUGCAACUGUUUAUUAAAAACACAGCACUGUGCAAACACGAAAGUGGACGUAUACGGUGUGACGCCUGCCCGGUGCCGGAAGGUUAAUUGAUGGGGUCAGCGCAAGCGAAGCUCUUGAUCGAAGCCCCGGUAAACGGCGGCCGUAACUAUAACGGUCCUAAGGUAGCGAAAUUCCUUGUCGGGUAAGUUCCGACCUGCACGAAUGGCGUAAUGAUGGCCAGGCUGUCUCCACCCGAGACUCAGUGAAAUUGAACUCGCUGUGAAGAUGCAGUGUACCCGCGGCAAGACGGAAAGACCCCGUGAACCUUUACUAUAGCUUGACACUGAACAUUGAGCCUUGAUGUGUAGGAUAGGUGGGAGGCUUAGAAGUGUGGACGCCAGUCUGCAUGGAGCCGACCUUGAAAUACCACCCUUUAAUGUUUGAUGUUCUAACGUUGACCCGUAAUCCGGGUUGCGGACAGUGUCUGGUGGGUAGUUUGACUGGGGCGGUCUCCUCCUAAAGAGUAACGGAGGAGCACGAAGGUUGGCUAAUCCUGGUCGGACAUCAGGAGGUUAGUGCAAUGGCAUAAGCCAGCUUGACUGCGAGCGUGACGGCGCGAGCAGGUGCGAAAGCAGGUCAUAGUGAUCCGGUGGUUCUGAAUGGAAGGGCCAUCGCUCAACGGAUAAAAGGUACUCCGGGGAUAACAGGCUGAUACCGCCCAAGAGUUCAUAUCGACGGCGGUGUUUGGCACCUCGAUGUCGGCUCAUCACAUCCUGGGGCUGAAGUAGGUCCCAAGGGUAUGGCUGUUCGCCAUUUAAAGUGGUACGCGAGCUGGGUUUAGAACGUCGUGAGACAGUUCGGUCCCUAUCUGCCGUGGGCGCUGGAGAACUGAGGGGGGCUGCUCCUAGUACGAGAGGACCGGAGUGGACGCAUCACUGGUGUUCGGGUUGUCAUGCCAAUGGCACUGCCCGGUAGCUAAAUGCGGAAGAGAUAAGUGCUGAAAGCAUCUAAGCACGAAACUUGCCCCGAGAUGAGUUCUCCCUGAC
rnacentral:rRNA from 1 species